rnacentral:rRNA from 1 species
CCCUGUGUUGAUAGCCACGUGGUCCCACCCCACUCCAUCCCGAACUGGGUCGUGAAACGCGUGAACGCCGAUGGUACUUGAGGUUUCACCUCUGGAAGAGUAGGUAGAUGCAGGGG